rnacentral:rRNA from 1 species
CACGUAGGGGACGAGCGUUGUCCGGAAUCAUUGGGCGUAAAGCGCGCGUAGGCGGCCCGGAAAGUCGGAUGUGAAAUGCCGGGGCUCAACCCCGUGCCCGCCGCGGAUACUGGAGGGCUGGAGACACGUAGAGGCAAGCGGAAUUCCGGGUGUAGCGGUGGAAUGCGUAGAGAUCCGGAAGAACACCGGAGGCGAAGGCGGCUUGCUGGGCGUAGUCUGACGCUGAGGCGCGAAAGCGUGGGGAGCGAACAGG